rfam:Halobiforma lacisalsi AJ5 contig_78, whole genome shotgun sequence.
UUAGGCGGCCAGAGCGGCGGGGUUCCUCCCGUACCCAUCCCGAACACGGAAGAUAAGCCCGCCUGCGUAUCGGCAACUACUGGAGUGGGAGACCCUCUGGGAACGUCGAUUCGCCGCCCCAC